rnacentral:lncRNA from 1 species
UUUCAUCUUUGGAAUGCAAUCUUUCCUUCAUUCUCUCAAAAUUAUUUGUUGUCUUUGGUUUCUUUACUUUCAAUUUAUUAAUUUCUAGCUUGUCCCUGACCUACACUACUUACAUUUUUCUUUUCCAAACCUUUUUCUCAUUCCUUGUAACCUAAAACUGUUCCACAUAUUAAGCCACCCACUUUUUACCAUUUCAACAUUUUUUUUCAUCCAACCUACUCAAGAUAUGACCAACUCCAAUAUGCCCCAAACCUUAGUUAACUAAACCC